GGGACGCAAAGAGGCACACCUGGAAGUACCGCAAUACCAUCUGGGAGAAUAAAGCCGACGGUCCUCUCUCGCACACCAAUUUUGACGGGGAGGAUGAGCCGGUACCGACUGCUCCCCCGCUGGACAUUCUCGACUCCGUGCCCGGAUAUGAGUCGUUGGGGUUCGACGCUGUGUGCGUGCCGCCGCCGCCGCCCGAGGCCACCUGGUCGGAGCCGAGCGGGCCGCCACCACGUGACCCGGUGCACGUGGGCGGCGAGCUGAGCGAGCAGCAGGCGCGCGCCGCGCUGCUGUCACGUGACCGACCACUGCUGCUACGGCCGCGGCGCGGCGCGACACAUGAACAUCGCCAAAAUCAACUACAGCUCGGCCCACCACUACGAGCUGCAGACGUUCACCGAGAAGCGUGAGACGUCGUGGACGUUCGUGCCGUACUCUGGCGGCGGGUGGACAGCCCCAGCUGCGGAGAGGCGCCCGAGCCGUGGAGCGUGCCUGCCGAGCCCGCCCAGUUGUUCCAUGACGAGGUGAAGGUCAUGGAAGUACCUCACACCGCCUCGGCCAAGGACUGUCAUCGGUGCAAGGGCCAGGGCAGCCUCAGCUGUGCAGAAUGCCACGGGAAAG
rnacentral:misc_RNA from 1 species